AGUGAACGCUGGCGGUAGGCCUAACACAUGCAAGUCGAACGGCAGCACAGUAAGAGCUUGCUCUUACGGGUGGCGAGUGGCGGACGGGUGAGGAAUACAUCGGAAUCUACUUUUUCGUGGGGGAUAACGUAGGGAAACUUACGCUAAUACCGCAUACGACCUACGGGUGAAAGAAGGGGAUCUUCGGACCUUGCGCGAUUGAAUGAGCCGAUGUCGGAUUAGCUAGUUGGCGGGGUAAAGGCCCACCAAGGCGACGAUCCGUAGCUGGUCUGAGAGGAUGAUCAGCCACACUGGAACUGAGACACGGUCCAGACUCCUACGGGAGGCAGCAGUGGGGAAUAUUGGACAAUGGGCGCAAGCCUGAUCCAGCCAUACCGCGUGGGUGAAGAAGGCCUUCGGGUUGUAAAGCCCUUUUGUUGGGAAAGAAAAGCAGCAGGUUAAUACCCCGCUGUUCUGACGGUACCCAAAGAAUAAGCACCGGCUAACUUCGUGC
rnacentral:rRNA from 1 species